rnacentral:tRNA from 1 species
GGAGAGGUGGCAGAGUGGUCGAAUGCGGCGGUCUUGAAAACCGUUGAGGCUUCUGGUCUCCGGGGGUUCGAAUCCCUCCCUCUCCG